rnacentral:rRNA from 1 species
AUACGGAGGAUGCGAGCGUUAUCCGGAUUUAUUGGGUUUAAAGGGAGCGCAGACGGGUCGUUAAGUCAGCUGUGAAAGUUUGGGGCUCAACCUUAAAAUUGCAGUUGAUACUGGCGUCCUUGAGUGCGGUUGAGGUGUGCGGAAUUCGUGGUGUAGCGGUGAAAUGCUUAGAUAUCACGAAGAACUCCGAUUGCGAAGGCAGCACACUAAGCCGUAACUGACGUUCAUGCUCGAAAGUGUGGGUAUCAAACAGGAUUAAAUACCCUGGUAGUCCACACGGUAAACGAUGGAUACUCGCUGUUGGCGAUAUACAGUCAGCGGCUUAGCGAAAGCGUUAAGUAUCCCACCUGGGGAGUACGCCGGCAACGGUGAAACUCAAAGGAAUUGACGGGGGCCCGCACAAGCGGAGGAACAUGUGGUUUAAUUCGAUGAUACGCGAGGAACCUUACCCGGGCUUAAAUUGCAAAGGAAUAAUCUGGAAACAGGUUAGUCUUCGGACCUUUGUGAAGGUGCUGCAUGGUUGUCGUCAGCUCGUGCCGUGAGGUGUCGGCUUAAGUGCCAUAACGAGCGCAACCCUCGCCGCCAGUUACUAACAGGUAAUGCUGAGGACUCUGGCGGGACUGCCAUCGUAAGAUGUGAGGAAGGUGGGGAUGACGUCAAAUCAGCACGGCCCUUACGUCCGGGGCUACACACGUGUUACAAUGGGCGGUACAGAAGGCAGCUACCUGGCGACAGGAUGCCAAUCCCUAAAGCCGCUCUCAGUUCGGACUGGAGUCUGCAACCCGCCUGCACGAAGUUGGAAUUGCUAGUAAUCGUGCAUCAGCCACGGCGCGGUGAAUACGUUCCCGGGCCUUGUACACACCGCCCGUCAAGCCAUGAAAGCCGGGGGUACCUGAAGUGCGUAACCGCAAGGAGCGCCCUAGGGUAAAACCGGUAAUUGGGGCU